CAGGCGCACCCGCCUGCAACAACGGCAUCUUUUUGCUUUUACCUUAAUCCGUGCCCACAGGCUGUACUUCGACCCUAGAUCUGGGAUGUUUAAUAAAGAUAAUGUUCCCCGAAUCGCCUCUUGUGUAUAAUUGCCCCCCCCUCUCAACGCCCGAGUCGAUUUUUAGUUGAAUUUUCAGGGCUUCAGUCGACCAACAAUUUCUUUGGUUGAUUACAGCCCUAAUAUAUAUGCACUUUGA